rnacentral:rRNA from 1 species
CCUACGGGUGGCUGCAGUCGAGAAUCAUUCACAAUGGGGGAAACCCUGAUGGUGCGACGCCGCGUGGGGGAAUGAAGGUCUUCGGAUUGUAAACCCCUGUCAUGUGGGAGCAAAUCAAAAAGAUAGUACCACAAGAGGAAGUGACGGCUAACUCUGUGCCAGCAGCCGCCGUAAUACAGAGGUCUCAAGCUGUGUUCGGAAUCACUGGGCGUAAAGCGUGCGUAGGCUGUUUCGUAAGUCGCGUGGGAAAGGGGCGGGCUCAACCCGCGGCCGGCACAUGACACUGCGGGACUAGAGGAAUGGAGGAGGAAGCGGAAUGCGCGGUGUAGCAGUGAAAUGCGUAGAUAUCGAGAGGAACACUCGUGGCGAAGGCGGGUUCCUGGAGAUUAACUGACGCUGAGGCACGAAGGCCAGGGGAGCGAAAGGGAUUAGAUACCCCAGUAGUC